rnacentral:rRNA from 1 species
CCUACGGGUGGCAGCAGUGGGGAAUAUUGGUCAAUGGGCGCGACCCUGAUCCAGCGACGCCGCGUGAGUGAAGACGUACCUCGGGAUUUAAAGCUCUUUUAGCAGGGAAGAAAGAAAUGACGCUCCUUGACUUAGAAGCGCCGGCCAACUACGUGCCAGCGGCCGCGGGAAUACGGAGGGCGCAAGCGUUAUGCGGAUUUACGGGGUGUAAAGGUAUCGUAGACUGGAAUGCAAGUCUGACGUGAAAGGUGGGGGGCUCACCCCUGGACUGGCUUGGAAACUGGUUGGCUGGAGUGCAGGAGAGGUAAGCGGAAUUCGUGGUGUAGCGGUGAAAUGCGUAGAUAUCAGGAGGAACACCAGUGGCGAAGGCAGCUUACUGGACUGUAACUGACGUUGAGGCUCGAAAGUGUGGGGAGCAAACAGGAUUAGAUACCCCUGUAGUC